rnacentral:rRNA from 1 species
AGAGUUUGAUCCUGGCUCAGGAUGAACGCUAGCUACAGGCUUAACACAUGCAAGUCGAGGGGCAGCGGGGAGGAAGCUUGCUUUCUCUGCCGGCGACCGGCGCACGGGUGAGUAACGCGUAUCGAACCUGCCUCAUACUCGGGAAUAGCCUUGCGAAAGUAAGAUUAAUGCCCGAUGUUUUCAGCGGUCCGCAUGAACUGCUGAACAAAGAUUUAUCGGUAUGAGAUGGCGAUGCGUCCCAUUAGCUUGUUGGCGGGGUAACAGCCCACCAAGGCAUCGAUGGGUAGGGGUUCUGAGAGGAAGGUCCCCCACAUUGGAACUGAGACACGGUCCAAACUCCUACGGGAGGCAGCAGUAGGGAAUCUUCCACAAUGGGCGAAAGCCUGAUGGAGCAACGCCGCGUGGGUGAAGAAGGUCUUCGGAUCGUAAAACCCUGUUGUUAGAGAAGAAAGUGCGUGAGAGUAACUGUUCACGUUUCGACGGUAUCUAACCAGAAAGCCACGGCUAACUACGUGCCAGCAGCCGCGGUAAUACGUAGGUGGCAAGCGUUAUCCGGAUUUAUUGGGCGUAAAGGGAACGCAGGCGGUCUUUUAAGUCUGAUGUGAAAGCCUUCGGCUUAACCGGAGUAGUGCAUUGGAAACUGGGAGACUUGAGUGCAGAAGAGGAGAGUGGAACUCCAUGUGUAGCGGUGAAAUGCGUAGAUAUAUGGAAGAACACCAGUGGCGAAAGCGGCUCUCUGGUCUGUAACUGACGCUGAGGUUCGAAAGCGUGGGUAGCAAACAGGAUUAGAUACCCUGGUAGUCCACGCCGUAAACGAUGAAUGCUAAGUGUUGGAGGGUUUCCGCCCUUCAGUGCUGCAGCUAACGCAAUAAGCAUUCCGCCUGGGGAGUACGACCGCAAGGUUGAAACUCAAAGGAAUUGACGGGGGCCCGCACAAGCGGAGGAACAUGUGGUUUAAUUCGAUGAUACGCGAGGAACCUUACCCGGGCUUGAAUUGCAGAGGAAGGAUUUGGAGACAAUGACGCCCUUCGGGGCCUCUGUGA